rnacentral:rRNA from 1 species
UGGGGACUAUUGGACAAUGGGCGAAAGCCUGAUCCAGCCAUGCCGCGUGUGUGAAGAAGGUCUUCGGAUUGUAAAGCACUUUAAGUUGGGAGGAAGGGCAGUAAGCGAAUACCUUGCUGUUUUUACGUUACCGACAGAAUAAGCACCGGCUAACUCUGUGCCAGCAGCCGCGGUAAUACAGUGGGUGCAAGCGUUAAUCGGAAUUACUGGGCGUAAAGCGCACGUAGGUGGUUCGUUAAGUUGAAUGUGAAAGCCCCGGGCUCAACCUGGGAACUGCAUCCAAAACUGGCGAGCUAGAGUAGGGCAGAGGGGGGUGGAAUUUCCUGAGUAGCGGUGAAAUGCGUAGAUAUAGGAAGGAACACCAGUGGCGAAGGCGACCACCUGGGCUCAUACUGACACUGAGGUGCGAAAGAGUGGGGAGCAAACAGG